AGUCAGCAUAUUUCCCCCAACAAUCUGGCUCCUCAUUUUACAACCUGGGAAGGAUGGAAAGUUGAGUCACCCUUGAGAUGGUCAGAAUUGAACUCCUGGCAGUGAACAGCAAUGGAUGAUGAAACCCUCUUCUGCUUGGAAAAAAAUUCAAUAGCAAAACCCCGUGUAUACAAACUUGAUAUAUGAUAAUAAUCAUAAUAUGCAUAAAAUAUAAGAAGUUGCAUUUUAAAUAGUUAAUCUGCUCUUUGCUGUGAAAACUCAUGAAGAUAUAUACUGGAAAAUAUGCCUGAAGCACCUGCAUUUUUUUAAAAAAAAUAUUUUGCAUUAAUUCUUAUAUGAGAUCCUUUUUGUUUUCUAAUAACCUGCUGUUGUCUUUUACAACAGGAUACUAGAUUGGGUAAAGAUUGUAUUUCUCUUUGGUAUCUGCUUCUACUUGGAAGAAUCACAGAGAAAAAAAAGAAAGAGAAAAAAGCGUCAAUUGUUUCUGGGCUAUCAUUGUGUUCUAAUUCUUUUAGUAAGUUCACACAAUAAUAUUUGAAUAAAACCGGAACAAAUUCUACUUGAGAACUGCAUGGAACUAAUGAGGAACAAAGAGACCAUGUUAUACUCUUUGCUGUCUGAACAAUGGCCUUGUUGCUGUUUGAUCUUUUAUUUUGUUGGUUUCCUUCUUUUCUGAAAGAAGCAAGUUAUAUUAUAUUUCAAAGUUCUGUUCAUUGCUUCAACCCUGACAACCUGUUCUGCAGAUUUAAACAGUUAAUAAAGGAAUCACCAUUUGUCUUCCA